CUCUUGACCUCGGAUCAGGUAGGGAUACCCGCUGAACUUAAGCAUAUCAAUAAGCGGAGGAAAAGAAACCAACAGGGAUUGCCCCAGUAACGGCG
rnacentral:rRNA from 1 species